UAAUAAUGGUCCACUUAAUAAUUAUUGAAUACCGACUAAUGGAAGGGCAAACCAAGGCCAUAUAUUAAUAUUUUUACUAAUUUCACAAUUCUCACACAGAAAAGCAUAACCUAUUAGAAAUAUUAUCUUUAUAAACUCGCACUAACAUCACAUUACAUUGGGAGAUGAUUUUUCUUUUUCUUUUGAAUUUUGUUUCUGAUUUGAGAAUAGAAAACAAGAAAUGAGGUGGAGCAACAUACAGUGUCGAGUUAGUUGGAUGAUCAUCUCUUUCUAAAAGGAAGGAUUGACAAAAAUGGUUAAUGAAAUGCAGACAAUCAGCUCUAAGAAUACUAUGCUCAUAGUUUCUUGACAGUAUUAACAUUAGUAUUUAAGGAUGAGUUCUAGCGGAGAAAGGCCUAAAUGGAGUGUGUUUGAAGAUAUAAAGAAUAUAUCUGCAGCUCCCGAGGCACUUAUGGCCGAUAUCAAUGCUGCCAUCAGCGCCCUCGAGCAUGCUCGUGCUGCGGCUGCUACCUUCUUACACUCGUCUUCUUCCUCUUCAAAAACAAAAACGCUGAUAAAAAGUUGAUUCAUGUGAUGCUGAAAAGGCCGGUGAAGCUACAAUACUGGAUUGAGCUUUGAACGUCUCGUUUAAGUGUGGAUAACUUCGGAUAAAAAGUUAUGGCUUUGAACAUCUCGUUUAAGUGCGGAUAAAAAGUUAUCCACACUCAUCUCUUUAAGUGUGGAUAACUUUGAAUGUCUCGUUUCUCUUACAUCGAUGACUCAGGAAGCCCGAGUGUCGCACCUGAAGGUUGGGGAUGGACUCGAAAUUGGAUCGUGGCAGCUGGUAUGUUUUCCUAUCAGUCAGAAAAUGACUUGGUUUAUCAAGAUGUGAAAGAUAUGCAGAAAUAUGUUGGAGUUGAUAAUGUUAUAGGCUAGUUUCUAUAUAAUAUGAAUAUGAUGCAUAUUAUUCAAGAAACCGAAAACAGAGUAGACAAACAUUUGUGAGGAGUGUUUUGCAUUCAAAAGGUGAUUGCUUUUAUUAAAAGAAAA